rnacentral:sRNA from 1 species
UAUCUCUCCGUACGGGGAAGGAUGAGAAGCUUCGACUAAGGUUCGAUUCGAGCGCAGCGAGAAAGCGUUGCCGCAGGCAACGACCCGAAGGGCGAAGCGCGCAGCGCUGAGUCAUCCUCCCCCCACCACCA